rnacentral:rRNA from 1 species
CGUAGGGUGCGUAGCGUUAAUCGGAAUUACUGGGCGUAAAGCGUGCGCUAGGCGGUUUUGUAAGACAGAUGUGAAAUCCCCGGGCUCAACCUGGGACCCGCAUUUGUGACUGCAAGGCUAGAGUACGGUAGAGGGGGGAUGGAAUUCCGCGUGUAGCAGUGAAAUGCGUAGAUAUGCGGAGGAACACCGAUGGCGAAGGCAAUCCCCUGGACCUGUACUGACGCUCAUGCACGAAAGCGUGGGGAGCAAACAGGAUUAGAUACCCUGGUAGUCCACGCCCUAAACGAUGUCAACUGGUUGUUGGGUCUUCACUGACUCAGUAACGAAGCUAACGCGUGAAGUUGACCGCCUGGGGAGUACGGCCGCAAGGUUG